GACGAACGCUGUUGGCGUGCUUGACACAUGCAAGUCGAACGGAAAGGCCCUGCUUUUGUGGGGUGCUCGAGUGGCGAACGGGUGAGUAACACGUGAGUAACCUGCCCUUGACUUUGGGAUAACUUCAGGAAACUGGGGCUAAUACCGGAUAGGAGCUCCUGCUGCAUGGUGGGGGUUGGAAAGUUUCGGCGGUUGGGGAUGGACUCGCGGCUUAUCAGCUUGUUGGUGGGGUAGUGGCUUACCAAGGCUUUGACGGGUAGCCGGCCUGAGAGGGUGACCGGCCACAUUGGGACUGAGAUACGGCCCAGACUCCUACGGGAGGCAGCAGUGGGGAAUAUUGCACAAUGGGCGGAAGCCUGAUGCAGCAACGCCGCGUGCGGGAUGACGGCCUUCGGGUUGUAAACCGCUUUCGCCUGUGACGAAGCGUGAGUGACGGUAAUGGGUAAAGAAGCACCGGCUAACUACGUGCCAGCAGCCGCGGUGAUACGUAGGGUGCGAGCGUUGUCCGGAUUUAUUGGGCGUAAAGGGCUCGUAGGUGGUUGAUCGCGUCGGAAGUGUAAUCUUGGGGCUUAACCCUGAGCGUGCUUUCGAUACGGGUUGACUUGAGGAAGGUAGGGGAGAAUGGAAUUCCUGGUGGAGCGGUGGAAUGCGCAGAUAUCAGGAGGAACACCAGUGGCGAAGGCGGUUCUCUGGGCCUUUCCUGACGCUGAGGAGCGAAAGCGUGGGGAGCGAACAGGCUUAGAUACCCUGGUAGUCCACGCUGUAAACGGUGGGUACUAGGUGUGGGGUCCAUUCCACGGGUUCCGUGCCGUAGCUAACGCUUUAAGUACCCCGCCUGGGGAGUACGGCCGCAAGGCUAAAACUCAAAGGAAUUGACGGGGCCCCGCACAAGCGGCGGAGCAUGCGGAUUAAUUCGAUGCAACGCGUAGAACCUUACCUGGGUUUGACAUGGAUCGGGAGUGCUCAGAGAUGGGUGUGCCUCUUUUGGGGUCGGUUCACAGGUGGUGCAUGGCUGUCGUCAGCUCGUGUCGUGAGAUGUUGGGUUAAGUCCCGCAACGAGCGCAACCCUUGUUCACUGUUGCCAGCACGUUAUGGUGGGGACUCAGUGGAGACCGCCGGGGUCAACUCGGAGGAAGGUGGGGAUGACGUCAAGUCAUCAUGCCCCUUAUGUCCAGGGCUUCACGCAUGCUACAAUGGCUGGUACAGAGAGUGGCGAGCCUGUGAGGGUGAGCGAAUCUCGGAAAGCCGGUCUCAGUUCGGAUUGGGGUCUGCAACUCGACCUCAUGAAGUCGGAGUCGCUAGUAAUCGCAGAUCAGCAACGCUGCGGUGAAUACGUUCCCGGG
rnacentral:rRNA from 1 species